GACGUAGGAGGCGAGCGUUGUCCGGAUUCAUUGGGCGUAAAGAGCACGCAGGCGGUUUGGCAAGUCGGAUGUGAAAACCCGGAGCUCAACUCCGGACCUGCAUCCGAAACUGCCCGACUAGAGGUAGGUAGGGGAGAUCGGAAUUCCUGGUGUAGCGGUGAAAUGCGCAGAUAUCAGGAGGAACACCAAUAGCGAAGGCAGCUCGCUGGGACGGUACUGACGCUAAGGCGCGAAAGCGUGGGGAGCGAACAGG
rnacentral:rRNA from 1 species